UACGUAGGGUGCAAGCGUUGUCCGGAAUUAUUGGGCGUAAAGAGCUCGUAGGCGGUCUGUCGCGUCGGCUGUGAAAACCCGAGGCUCAACCUCGGGCCUGCAGUCGAUACGGGCAAACUAGAGUACUGCAGGGGAGACUGGAAUUCCUGGUGUAGCGGUGAAAUGCGCAGAUAUCGGGAGGAACACCGGUGGCGAAGGCGGUUCUCUGGGCCUUACCUGACGCUGAGGAGCGAAAGCGUGGGGAGCGAACAGG
rnacentral:rRNA from 1 species